GUCCCCGGUUAUACGAUAAUGCAAGUAAAUUUUAUCGGUAAAAGUUAAAUUGAUUUUUUAAAAUAAAAAUAAAUUUAUUAGGUGAAAUUUUAAAUUUAUUAAAUUUUUAAAUAAAAAAAUAUUGAAGCUUAAAAAUUUUUAAAAUAAACUAGGAUUAGAUACCCUAUUAUUAAAAAUGUAAUUUAUUAACUUGAGUAGUAUUAGUUAUGUUCUUGAAACUUAAAAAAUUUGGCGGUAUUUUAGUCUAUUCAGAGGAACCUGUUCUAUAAUCGAUAAUCCACGAUGGACCUUACUUAAGUUUGUAAUCAGUUUAUAUACCGUCGUUAUCAGAAUAUUUUAUAAGAAUAAUAAUUUUCUAUAAUCUUUAUUAAGAUUUAUAUCAGAUCAAGGUGUAGCUUAUAUUUAAGUAGAAAUGGGUUACAAUAAAAAUAUUUAUAUGGAUAUAAAAAUGAAAAAUUUAUUGAAAGUGGAUCUGAUAGUAAAAUUAUAAAGAUUAAAUUUG
rnacentral:rRNA from 1 species